rnacentral:rRNA from 1 species
GCGGCAGGCUUAACACAUGCAAGUCGAACGCACCCUUCGGGGUGAGUGGCAGACGGGUGAGUAACGCGUGGGCACCUGCCCUUCAGUUCGGAACAACCGUUGGAAACGACGGCUAAUGCCGGAUACGCCCCAUGGGGGAAAGAUUUAUCGCUGAAGGAUGGGCCCGCGUCGGAUUAGCUAGUUGGUGGGGUAAAAGCCUACCAAGGCGACGAUCCGUAGCUGGUCUGAGAGGAUGACCAGCCACACUGGGACUGAGACACGGCCCAGACUCCUACGGGAGGCAGCAGUGGGGAAUAUUGGACAAUGGGGGCAACCCUGAUCCAGCCAUGCCGCGUGAGUGAAGAAGGCCUUCGGGUUGUAAAGCUCUUUCAGAGGUGACGAUGAUGACGGUAACCUCAGAAGAAGCCCCGGCUAACUUCGUGCCAGCAGCCGCGGUAAUACGAAGGGGGCUAGCGUUGUUCGGAAUUACUGGGCGUAAAGCGCGCGUAGGCGGUGUGCAUAGUC